UGACGGUACCACUUGAAUAAGCUCCGGCUAACUACGUGCCAGCAGCCGCGGUAAUACGUAGGGAGCAAGCGUUAUCCGGAUUUACUGGGUGUAAAGGGAGCGUAGGCGGUGAUGCAAGUCAGAAGUGAAAACCCGGGGCUCAACCCCGUGGAUUGCUUUUGAGACUGUGUUGCUGGAGUACAGGAGGGGCAGGCGGAAUUCCUGGUGUAGCGGUGAAAUGCGUAGAUAUCAGGAGGAACACCAGUGGCGAAGGCGGCCUGCUGGACUGUAACUGACGCUGAGGCUCGAAGGCGUGGGGAGCAAACAGGAUUAGAUACCCUG
rnacentral:rRNA from 1 species